AGCCAGACUCCUACGGGAGGCAGCAGUAGGGAAUUUUGCGCAAUGGGCGAAAGCCUGACGCAGCAACGCCGCGUGAUUGAUUAAGCCCUUCGGGGUGUAAAGAUCUGUCAGUGGGGACGAAACUUGACGGUACCCACAGAGGAAGCACCGGCUAACUCCGUGCCAGCAGCCGCGGUAAUACGUAGGGGGCAAGCGUUAUCCGGAUUUACUGGGUGUAAAGGGAGCGUAGACGGCUGUGCAAGUCUGAAGUGAAAGCCCGUGGCUCAACCGCGGAACUGCUUUGGAAACUGUAUAGCUUGAGUACUGGAGAGGCAGGCGGAAUUCCUAGUGUAGCGGUGAAAUGCGUAGAUAUUAGGAGGAACACCGGUGGCGAAGGCGGCCUGCUGGACAGAAACUGACGUUGAGGCUCGAAAGCGUGGGGAGCAAACAGGAUUAGAUACCCGGGUA
rnacentral:rRNA from 1 species